rnacentral:rRNA from 1 species
CCUACGGGCGGCAGCAGUGGGGAAUAUUGCACAAUGGGGGAAACCCUGAUGCAGCGACGCCGCGUGAGCGAUGAAGUAUUUCGGUAUGUAAAGCUCUAUCAGCAGGGAAGAAAAUGACGGUACCUGACUAAGAAGCCACGGCUAACUACGUGCCAGCAGCCGCGGUAAUACGUAGGGGGCAAGCGUUAUCCGGAUUUACUGGGUGUAAAGGGAGCGUAGACGGUCCUGCAAGUCAGAUGUGAAAGCCUGGGGCUCAACCCCGGGACUGCAUUUGGAACUGUAAGGCUAGAGUGUCGGAGAGGCAGGCGGAAUUCGUAGUGUAGCGGUGAAAUGCGUAGAUAUUAGGAGGAACACCAGUUGCGAAGGCGGCCUGCUGGACGAUGACUGACGUUGAGGCUCGAAAGCGUGGGGAGCAAACAGGAUUAGAUACCCUGGUAGUC